rnacentral:lncRNA from 1 species
UAAAUUUACUUAAAAGUUUCAUUCCAAAUGAUAAUAUGGGGCCGGUUGAUAUCUUGAAAUUUCUUAAACGGCUAGAUUGUUUCCCUAGUGCAACUAUUGCAUAUAGAAUUUUGUUAACUAUUCCAGUGACCGUCGUAUCAGCUGAGAGAAGUUUCUCCAAAUUGAAAUUAUUGAAGUCCUAUCUACGUUCAACAAUGACACAAGAAAGGCUCAGUGGGUUGGCUACUAUAGCAAUUGAAAAUGAUAUACUGGAGGGGGUUGCUUAUGAAGAUCUAAUUGAAGAUUUUGUAUCAAGAAAUGCUCAAAGGAUGGCACGCUUUGGCUAACAGAGUAAAAGAUGGACCUGUAGCUCAAAAUACUAAGAUUUUUCUCUUGUAUUAUGUAGUUCCUUGAGAAAUCUGUACUGCUGUAGUGACUAAUAACAAUAAUGUUUAAAUUGCCUACUUGACUUUCUUAUACAUGGGGCCUAAAUUGUGAUUUCGCUCCGGGGCCUCAAUUUCCGGGGUACGGCCCUGGAAUCAUACAACGCAUCUACACAACAUUUGCUAAUUCAAGUAAAAGGUGGCAGAUCUUGAAAGAUAAUAUAGAUGAUACAACAGGAUUGACUCUCAAGUCGUUGUCAUCUACUCGUUGGGAGAGUCGAAUAGAUAGUGUUAAAGCUAUAAGAUUUCAGCUUUCGAACAUACGAGAAGCUUUACUGCAAGUAUCUGAUGUUGAUAAUGAUCCAAAAACUAGCAGUGAAGCUAAAUCUCUCGCGAAUAAUGAACUUGGUGAUUUUGAAUUUUUAGUAGCUAUUGUUAUUUGGUAUGACUGUAUGCCGUCAAUCUGGUCAGCAAGAACUUACAAUCAAAGGAUAUGCUUAUUGAUGUUGCUAUUGAGCAAGUGCAGGGGCUAAUUACCUUUUUUAAUGGGUAUAGAGACACUGGUUUUUGUAAUGCAUUGGAAACAGCAAAAGAAAUUGCAUUUGAAAUGGAGAUCGAUCCUACAUUUCGUCAAAAGCGUGAGAUUAAAAGAAAGAAACAAUUUGACGAAAACCCAGAUGAUGUGUUAAUUUCUUCACAACCUGCACAUGAAUCAUUUAGGAGAAAAUAUUUUAUUCCUGUUGUUGAUCAGGCUAUCAGUUCACUUGCAACAAGAUUUGAGCAAUAUGAAUCAUUCCAAAAGAACUUUGGUUUUUAUUUACUUCUGAUGCACUAAAAUCAUUGGAUGAGAAGAGCUUAAAAUAUUCUUGUAGUGUUCUUGAGGCUGCACUAAGGAGUGGGGGGAAAUCAGACAUUAAUGGUAGUGAAAUAUAUGUUGAGCUAAAUUUACUUAAAAGUUUCAUUCCAAAUGAUAAUAUGGGGCCGGUUGAUAUCUUGAAAUUUCUUAAACGGCUAGAUUGUUUCCCUAAUGCCACUAUUGCAUAUAGAAUUUUGUUAACUAUUCCAGUGACCGUCGCAUCAACUGAGAGAAGUUUCUCCAAAUUGAAAUUAUUGAAGUCCUAUCUACGUUCAACAAUGACACAAGAAAGGCUCAGUGGGUUGGCUACUAUAGCAAUUGAAAAUGAUAUACUGGAGGGGGUUGCUUAUGAAGAUCUAAUUGAAGAUUUUGUAUCAAGAAAUGCUCAAAGGAUGACACGCUUUGGCUAACAGAGUAAAAUAUGGACCUGUAGCUCAAAAAUCUAAGAUUUUUCUCUUGUAUUAUGUAGUUCCUUGAGAAAUCUGUACUGCUGUAGUGACUAAUAACAAUAAUGUUUAAAUUGCCUACUUGACUUUCUUAUAAAUGGGGCCUAAAUUGUGAUUUCGCUCCGGGGCCUCAAUUUCCGGGCUACGGCCCUGGAAUCAUACAACGCAUCUACACAACAUUAGCUAAUUCAACUAAAAAGUGGCAGAUCUUGAAAGAUAAUAUAGAUGAUACAACAGGAUUGACUCUCAAGUCGUUGUCAUCUACUCAUUGGGANNNNNNNNNNNNNNNNNNNNNNNNNNNNNNNNNNNNNNNNNNNNNNNNNNNNNNNNNNNNNNNNNNNNNNNNNNNNNNNNNNNNNNNNNNNNNNNNNNNNUAGAUUGUUUCCCUAAUGCAACUAUUGCAUAUAGAAUUUUGUUAACUAUUCCAGUGACCGUCGCAUCAGCUGAGAGAAGUUUCUCCAAAUUGAAAUUAUUGAAGUCCUAUCUACGUUCAACAAUGACACAAGAAAGGCUCAGUGGGUUGGCUACUAUAGCAAUUGAAAAUGAUAUACUGGAGGGGGUUGCUUAUGAAGAUCUAAUUGAAGAUUUUGUAUCAAGAAAUGCUCAAAGGAUGGCACACUUUGGCUAACAGAGUAAAAGAUGGACCUGUAGCUCAAAAUUCUAAGAUUUUUCUCCUGUAUUAUGUAGUUCCUUGAGAAAUCUGUACUGCUGUAGUGACUAAUAAAAAUAAUGUUUAAAUUGCCUACUUGACUUUCUUAUACAUGGGGCCUAAAUUGUGAUUUCGCUCCGGGGCCUCAAUUUCCGAGGUACGGCCCUGGCAUCAUACAACGCAUCUACACAACAUUUGCUAAUUCAACUAAAAGGUGGCAGAUCUUGAAAGAUAAUAUAGAUGAUACAACAGGAUUGACUCUCAAGUCGUUGUCAUCUACUCGUUGGGAGAGUCGAAUAGAUAGUGUUAAAGCUAUAAGAUUUCAGCUUUCGAACAUACGAGAAGCUUUACUGCAAGUAUCUGGUAUUGAUAAUGAUCCAAAAACUAGCAGUGAAGCUAAAUCUCUCGCGAAUAAUGAACUUGGUGAUUUUGAAUUUUUAGUAGCUAUUGUUAUUUGGUAUGACUGUAUGCCGUCAAUCUGGUCAGCAAGAACUUACAAUCAAAGGAUAUGCUUAUUGAUGUUGCUAUUGAGCAAGUGCAGGGGCUAAUUACCUUUUUGAAUGGGUAUAGAGACACUGGUUUUUGUAAUGCAUUGGAAACAGCAAAAGAAAUUGCACUUGAAAUGGAGAUCGAUCCUACAUUUCGUCAAAAGCGUGAGAUUAAAAGAAAGAAACAAUUUGACGAAAACCCAGAUGAUGUGUUAAUUUCUUCACAACCUGCACAUGAAUCAUUUAGGAGAAAAUAUUUUUUUCCUGUUGUUGAUCAGGCCAUCAGUUCACUUACAACAAGAUUUGAGCAAUAUGAAUCAUUCCAAAAGAACUUUGGUUUUUUAUUUACUUCUGAUGCACUAAAAUCAUUGGAUGAGAAGAGCUUAAAAUAUUCUUGUAGUGUUCUUGAGGCUGCACUAAAGAGUGGGGGGAAUCAGACAUUAAUGGUAGUGAAUUAUAUGUUGAGCUAAAUUUACUUAAAAGUUUCAUUCCAAAUGAUAAUAUGGGGUCGGUUGAUAUCUUGAAAUUUCUUAAACGGCUAGAUUGUUUCCCUAAUGCAACUAUUGCAUAUAGAAUUUUGUUAACUAUUCUAGUGACCGUCGCAUCAGCUGAGAGAAGUUUCUCCAAAUUGAAAUUAUUGAAGUCCUAUCUACGUUCAACAAUGACACAAGAAAGGCUCAGUGGGUUGGCUACUAUAGCAAUUGAAAAUGAUAUACUGGAGGGGGUUGCAUAUGAAGAUCUAAUUGAAGAUUUUGUAUCAAGAAGUGCUCAAAGGAUGGCACGCUUUGGCUAACAGAGUAAAAGAUGGACCUGUAGCUCAAAAUUCUAAGAUUUUUCUCCUGUAUUAUGUAGUUCCUUGAGAAAUCUGUACUGCUGUAGUGACUAAUAAAAAUAAUGUUUAAAUUGCCUACUUGACUUUCUUAUACAUGGGGCCUAAAUUGUGAUUUUGCUCCGGGGCCUCAAUUUCCGGGGUACGGCCCUGGAAUCAUACAACGCAUCUACACAACAUUUGCUAAUUCAACUAAAAAGUGGCAGAUCUUGAAAGAUAAUAUAGAUGAUACAACAGGAUUGACUCUCAAGUCGUUGUCAUCUACUCGUUGGAAGAGUCGAAUAAAUAGUGUUAAAGCUAUAAGAUUUCAGGUUUCGAACAUACGAGAAGCUUUACUGCAAGUAUCUGAUAUUGAUAAUGAUCCAAAAACUAGCAGUGAAGCUAAAUCUCUCGCGAAUAAUGAACUUGGUGAUUUUGAAUUUUUAGUAGCUAUUGUUAUUUGGUAUGACUAUAUGCCGUCAAUCUGGUCAGCAAGAACUUACAAUCAAAGGAUAUGCUUAUUGAUGUUGCUAUUGAGCAAGUGCAGGGGCUAAUUACCUUUUUAAUGGGUAUAGAGACAUUGGUUUUUGUAAUGCAUUGGAAACAGCAAAAGAAAUUGCACUUGAAAUGGAGAUCGAUCCUACAUUUCGUCAAAAGCGUGAGAUUAAAAGAAAGAAACAAUUUGACGAAAACCCAGAUGAUGUGUUAAUUUCUUCACAACCUGCACAUGAAUCAUUUAGGAGAAAAUAUUUUAUUCCUGUUGUUGAUCAGGCUAUCAGUUCACUUACAACAAGAUUUGAGCAAUAUGAAUCAUUCCAAAAGAACUUUGGUUUUUUAUUUACUUCUGAUGCACUAAAAUCAUUGGAUGAGAAGAGCUUAAAUAUUCUUGUAGUGUUCUUGAGGCUGCACUAAAGAGUGGGGGGAAAUCAGACAUUAAUGGUAGUGAAUUAUAUGUUGAGCUAAAUUUACUUAAAAGUUUCAUUCCAAAUGAUAAUAUGGGGCCGGUUGAUAUCUUGAAAUUUCUUAAACGGCUAGAUUGUUUCCCUAAUGCAACUAUUGCAUAUAGAAUUUUGUUAACUAUUCCAGUGACCGUCGCAUCAGCUGAGAGAAGUUUCUCCAAAUUGAAAUUAUUGAAGUCCUAUCUAUGUUCAACAAUGACACAAGAAAGGCUCAGUGGGUUGGCUACUAUAGCAAUUGAAAAUGAUAUACUGGAGGGGGUUGCUUAUGAAGAUCUAAUUGAAGAUUUUGUACCAAGAAAUGCUCAAAGGAUGGCACGCUUUGGCUAACAGGGUAAAAGAUGGACCUGUAGCUCAAAAUUCUAAGAUUUUUCUCUUGUAUUAUGUAGUUCCUUGAGAAAUCUGUACUUCUGUAGUGACUAAUAAAAAUAAUGUUUAAAUUGCCUACUUGACUUUCUUAUACAUGGGGCCUAAAUUGUGAUUUCGCUCCGGGGCCUCAAUUUCCGGGGUACGGCCCUGGAAUCAUACAACGCAUCUACACAACAUUUGCUAAUUCAACUAAAAAGUGGCAGAUCUUGAAAGAUAAUAUAGAUGAUACAACAAGAUUGACUCUCAAGUCGUUGUCAUCUACUCAUUGGGAGAGUCGAAUAAAUAGUGUUAAAGCUAUAAGAUUUCAGCUUUCGAACAUACGAGAAGCUUUACUGCAAGUAUCUGAUAUUGAUAAUGAUCCAAAAACUAGCAGUGAAGCUAAAUCUCUCGCGAAUAAUGAACUUGGUGAUUUUGAAUUUUUAGUAGCUAUUGUUAUUUGGUAUGACUAUAUGCCGUCAAUCUGGUCAGCAAGAACUUACAAUCAAAGGAUAUGCUUAUUGAUGUUGCUAUUGAGCAAGUGGAGGGGCUAAUUACCUUUUUUAAUGGGUAUAGAGACAUUGGUUUUUGUAAUGCAUUGGAAACAGCAAAAGAAAUUGCACUUGAAAUGGAGAUCGAUCCUACAUUUCGUCAAAAGCGUGAGAUUAAAAGAAAGAAACAAUUUGACGAAAACCCAGAUGAUGUGUUAAUUCUUCACAACCUGCACAUGAAUCAUUUAGGAGAAAAUAUUUUAUUCCUGUUGUUGAUCAGGCUAUCAGUUCACUUACAACAAGAUUUGAGCAAUAUGAAUCAUUCCAAAAGAACUUUGGUUUUUUAUUUACUUCUGAUGCACUAAAAUCAUUGGAUGAGAAGAGCUUAAAAUAUUCUUGUAGUGUUCUUGAGGCUGCACUAAAGAGUGGGGGGAAAUCAGACAUUAAUGGUAGUGCAUUAUAUGUUGAGCUAAAUUUACUUAAAAGUUUCAUUCCAAAUGAUAAUAUGGGGCCGGUUGAUAUCUUGAAAUUUCUUAAACGGCUAGAUUGUUUCCCUAAUGCAACUAUUGCAUAUAGAAUUUUGUUAACUAUUCGAGUGACCGUCGCAUCAGCUGAGAGAAGUUUCUCCAAAUUGAAAUUAUUGAAGUCCUAUCUACGUUCAACAAUGACACAAGAAAGGCUCAGUGGGUUGGCUACUAUAGCAAUUGAAAAUGAUAUACUGGAGGGGGUUGCAUAUGAAGAUCUAAUUGAAGAUUUUGUAUCAAGAAGUGCUCAAAGGAUGGCACGCUUUGGCUAACAGAGUAAAAGAUGGACAUGUAGCUCAAAAUUCUAAGAUUUUUCUCCUGUAUUAUGUAGUUCCUUGAGAAAUCUGUACUGCUGUAGUGACUAAUAAAAAUAAUGUUUAUAUUGCCUACUUGACUUUCUUAUACAUGGGGCCUAAAUUGUGAUUUCGCUCCGGGGCCUCAAUUUCCGGGGUACGGCCCUGGAAUCCUACAACGCAUCUACACAACAUUUGCUAAUUCAACUAAAAAGUGGCAGAUCUUGAAAGAUAAUAUAGAUGAUACAACAGGAUUGACUCUCAAGUCGUUGUCAUCUACUCGUUGGGAGAGUCGAAUAGAUAGUGUUAAAGAUAUAAGAUUUCAGCUUUGAAACAUACGAGAAGCUUUACUGCAAGUAUCUGAUAUUGAUAAUGAUCCAAAAACUAGCAGUGAAGCUAAAUCUCCCGCGAAUAAUGAACUUGGUGAUUUUGAAUUUUUAGUAGCUAUUGUUAUUUGGUAUGACUGUAUGCCGUCAAUCUGGUCAGCAAGAACUUACAAUCAAAGGAUAUGCUUAUUGAUGUUGCUAUUGAGCACGUGCAGGGGCUAAUUACCUUUUUUAAUGGGUAUAGAGACACUGGUUUUUGUAAUGCAUUGGAAACAGCAAAAGAAAUUGCACUUGAAAUGGGGAUCGAUCCUACAUUUCGUCAAAAGCGUGAGAUUAAAAGAAAGAAACAAUUUGACGAAAACCCAGAUGAUGUGUUAAUUUCUUCACAACCUGCACAUGAAUCAUUUAGGCGAAAAUAUUUUAUUCCUGUUGUUGAUCAGGCUAUCAGUUCACUUACAACAAGAUUUGAGCAAUAUGAAUCAUUCCAAAAGAACUUUGGUUUUUUAUUUACUUCUGAUGCACUAAAAUCAUUGGAUGAGAAGAGCUUAAAAUAUUCUUGUAGUGUUCUUGAGGCUGCACUAAAGAGUGGGGGGAAAUCAGACAUUAAUGGUAGUGAAUUAUAUGUUGAGCUAAAUUUACUUAAAAGUUUCAUUCCAAAUGAUAAUAUGGGGCCGGUUGAUAUCUUGAAAUUUCUUAAACGGCUAGAUUGUUUCCCUAAUGCAACUAUUGCAUAUAGAAUUUUGUUAACUAUUCCAGUGACCGUCGCAUCAGCUGAGAGAAGUUUCUCCAAAUUGAAAUUAUUGAAGUCCUAUCUACGUUCAACAAUGACACAAGAAAGGCUCAGUGGGUUGGCUACUAUAGCAAUUGAAAAUGAUAUACUGGAGGGGGUUGCUUAUGAAGAUCUAAUUGAAGAUUUUGUAUCAAGAAAUGCUCAAAGGAUGGCACACUUUGGCUAACAGAGUAAAAGAUGGACCUGUAGCUCAAAAUUCUAAGAUUUUUCUCUUGUAUUAUGUAGUUCCUUGAGAAAUCUGUACUGCUGUAGUGACUAAUAAAAAUAAUG